rnacentral:rRNA from 1 species
UACGUAGGGCGCAAGCGUUGUCCGGAAUUAUUGGGCGUAAAGAGCUCGUAGGUGGUUUGUCGCGUCUGUUGUGAAAGCCCGGGGCUUAACUCCGGGUUUGCAGUGGAUACGGGCAGGCGUAGAGGCAGGUAGGGGAGAACGGAAUUCCCGGUGUAGCGGUGAAAUGCGCAGAUAUCGGGAGGAACACCGGUGGCGAAGGCGGCGACCUGGGUAGAUACUGACGCUGAGGUGCGAAAGCGUGGGGAGCAAACAGG